GCGAGGCCGAAAGGCGUAGUCGAAGGACAACAGGUCGAAAUUCCUGUACCACCGUAAGCCGUUAUGAGCAAUGGGGGGACGCAGCAGGGUAGUGACGCGGACUGAUGGAUGUCCGUCUAAGCAGUGAGGCUGAUGUGUAGGUAAAUCCGCACAUCGUUAAGGCUGGGCUGUAAUGGGGAGCGAAAAUUAUAGUAGCGAAGGUCAUGAUCUCACACUGCCAAGAAAAGCCUCUAGCCAGGUGAUGGUGCCCGUACCGCAAACCGACACAGGUAGGCGAGAAGAG
rnacentral:rRNA from 1 species